GGUGGGUUGGCUCAGUGGUUAGAGCGUAGGUCUCGUAACCGAAAAAUUGCGGUAUCGAAUCCUGCUAGAGGCUG
rnacentral:tRNA from 1 species